rnacentral:rRNA from 1 species
AACGGCGAGUGAACAGAGAUUAGCCCAGCACCGAAGCCUAUUCGCGUUUGUGAACAAGGCAAUGUGGUGUUCAGGUGUUUGCCUGGGGUCGUCGGUUUGUUCUAAGUCCAGCAUAGAUAAUGGCUCUGGAUGUUGCCCAUAGCGGGUGAAAGGCCCGUUAGAAUGAACCUCAAAGCAUGUUGACGUACCCCAGUUGCAUUCACUAUGGAGUCGGAUAGUUUGAGAAUGCUGUCCAAAGUGGGUGGUAAACUCCAUCCAAGGCUAAAUACUGGCACGAAUCCGAUAGUAGACAAGUACCGUGAGGGAAAGUUGAAAAGUACUCUGAAGAGAGAGUAAAUAGUACGUGAAGCCGCAUGUAUGGAAGCUGGUGGAGUCAAGCUGCAUGCUCUUGGUAAUAAACUAGUGACUGUUGUAUGCUUAUCCAGAUGGAUGUGCCGGUUGCCUUGUAUUUAGGCUGACGAAUUCUUUCGUUCCGCGAGCGUACUGGUUAGUGCGUGUGGGCUGGCCAUUUUAAUCUUGGUGUCACUGGUGUACUUGCCUUGUAGCAGACAUCACGAUAGGUAUUUAUGUUGGCAUAUGGUAGUACAAACCAUCAGUUUACGGGUUUCAAAUUCGUAUCUGUUGGGAUGGCAGGUUGCCUGUUUAUUUGCCUCGUGUGAGUGAAUGGGUUUUUCUUGGUUGUGGCCGGCCGUCUACCAUUUAAAGCAUUCUGCCAUACAAAUGUACCGUUAUUUAUGUUAUGCUGGUCGUUUGCUGUUGAAAUUCUUGUUGGUACGGUCUUGUGUCUGCGCAAGCGGGGCAGGGCUGUUGCUGGCUUGUGGUUUCAGCUUG